rnacentral:rRNA from 1 species
AGAGUUUGAUUCUGGCUCAGGAUUAACGCUAGCGGCAGGCCUAAUACAUGCAAGUCGAACGGGAUUCAAGGUAGCAAUAUUUUGAUGAGAGUGGCGCACGGGUGAGUAACACGUAUGCAAUUUGCCUUUAACUGGGGAAUAGCCCUCCGAAAGGAGGAUUAAUACCGCAUAACAUUUCAGAAUGGCAUCAUUUUGGAAUUAAACCUCCGGGGGUUAAAGAUAAGCAUGCAUCCGAUUAGGUAGUUGGUGUGGUAACGGCACACCAAGCCAACGAUCGGUAGGGGGUCUGAGAGGAUGAUCCCCCACACUGGUACUGAGACACGGACCAGACUCCUACGGGAGGCAGCAGUAAGGAAUAUUGGACAAUGGAGGCAACUCUGAUCCAGCCAUGCCGCGUGAAGGAAUAAGGCCCUAUGGGUUGUAAACUUCUUUUAGACGGGACAAAACCCCUUUACGUGUAAAGGGUUGAUGGUACUGUCAGAAUAAGCAUCGGCUAACUUCGUGCCAGCAGCCGCGGUAAUACGAAGGAUGCAAGCGUUAUCCGGAAUUAUUGGGUUUAAAGGGUGCGUAGGCGGACUGAUAAGUCAGUGGUGAAAGCCUGCAGCUUAACUGCAGAAUUGCCGUUGAUACUGUCAGUCUUGAGUACAGUUGAGGUAGGCGGAAUGUGUCAUGUAGCGGUGAAAUGCUUAGAUAUGACACAGAACACCGAUUGCGAAGGCAGCUUGCUAAGCUGUAACUGACGCUGAGGCACGAAAGCGUGGGGAGCAAACAGGAUUAGAUACCCUGGUAGUCCACGCCCUAAACGAUGAUAACUCGCUGUUGGCGAUACACAGCCAGCGGCCAAGCGAAAGCAUUAAGUUAUCCACCUGGGGAGUACGACCGCAAGGUUGAAACUCAAAGGAAUGACGG